rnacentral:rRNA from 1 species
CAGUAGCCGCGGUAAUACGAAGGGGGCUAGCGUUGCUCGGAAUGACUGGGCGUAAAGGGCGCGUAGGCGGAUUGCGCAGUCAGAUGUGAAAUUCCUGGGCUUAACCUGGGGGCUGCAUUUGAGACGCGUAGUCUAGAGUGUGAAAGAGGGUCGUGGAAUUCCCAGUGUAGAGGUGAAAUUCGUAGAUAUUCGGAAGAACACCAGUGGCGAAGGCGGCUUACUGGCCCAUUCUAGACGCUGAGGUGCGAAAGCGUGGGGAGCAAACAGGAUUAGAUACCCCGGUAGUCCCUGUCUCUUAUAC